rnacentral:rRNA from 1 species
CGCGUAGGUGGUUCGUUAAGUUGGAUGUGAAAUCCCCGGGCUCAACCUGGGAACUGCAUUCAAAGCUGUCGAGCUAGAGUAUGGUAGAGGGUGGUGGAAUUUCCUGUGUAGCGGUGAAAUGCGUAGAUAUAGGAAGGAACACCAGUGGCGAAGGCGACCACCUGGACUGAUACUGACACUGAGGUGCGAAAGCGUGGGGAGCAAACA